GGCUCCGCGGAACAGUUUUUCCAGAACAAUUCGAUUGCGGAUUUCAUGAGGUUCAAGAGACGCUCCGAUAGAAGCAGCGGCGAGUUGCAGACUGCUGUUGUUAGUUACAGAAAGAGGUUUCNNNNNNNNNNNNUUUCUUCGGGUUGAUUUGGUUUCGACUAUUCACAUUGCAGAUAAAGAUUACUUCACCACCCUCCAGAAGGAACUUGAGCCCUAUGAUUGUGUCCUAUAUGAGAUGGUGGCUAGCAGGGAUAGUUUAGAGAAUAGAAGAAAUCCUGCUGCUACGAAGAGGCUGAAAAGUUCGCGCUCCAGAGGAUUCAACAUUCUAGGGUGCAUUCAGCGACAGAUGGCUAGGAUUCUUAUGCUUGAUUUCCAGUUAGACUGUCUUGAUUACCAG
rnacentral:misc_RNA from 1 species